AUUGAACGCUGGCGGCAGGCUUAACACAUGCAAGUCGAGCGGAGCGAGGGUGCUUGCACCUUAGCUUAGCGGCGGACGGGUGAGUAAUGCUUAGGAAUCUGCCUAUUAGUGGGGGACAACAUUCCGAAAGGAAUGCUAAUACCGCAUACGCCCUACGGGGGAAAGCAGGGGAUCUUCGGACCUUGCGCUAAUAGAUGAGCCUAAGUCGGAUUAGCUAGUUGGUGGGGUAAAGGCCUACCAAGGCGACGAUCUGUAGCGGGUCUGAGAGGAUGAUCCGCCACACUGGGACUGAGACACGGCCCAGACGCCUACGGGAGGCAGCAGUGGGGAAUAUUGGACAAUGGGGGGAACCCUGAUCCAGCCAUGCCGCGUGUGUGAAGAAGGCCUUAUGGUUGUAAAGCACUUUAAGCGAGGAGGAGGCUCUUUUGGUUAAUACCCAGAAUGAGUGGACGUUACUCGCAGAAUAAGCACCGGCUAACUCUGUGCCAGCCGCCGCCGUAAUAC
rnacentral:rRNA from 1 species